rnacentral:lncRNA from 1 species
CACAGAACCAGCUGUAAUUAUCUUUUUAUUUUACAAGUACUUGGAGCUGUGAAACAUUGGAAAAUAAUCAAAGAAAAAAAUCUAUAUUUAUGCUGCUUCUAAAUGGAUCCCUUGUUGAAGUGUGGGUUGACAGCUGUUCCAGGAAUCAGUGCCUUGAUGAAUUAGGAUGAUGUUGACUGCUGUUUGUCUUGGUGUCUCAACUGUGUACCAACUUCCUCAGCAAAACAUAGAACAGGCAAUUACAUGGAACUAGCAUGAUGAAUAAAAAUAAACUGAUUCAUGAAUUUCUGGAAGUAGUUUCAAGAGGUGAUGUGGAACUCAUCUGUGACCAUAUUGCUAAAGUCCAUUCCAUCCUUGGAAACCUUGACUUUCAGCAUCCAAAGACUGGGAAUACACCUCUCAUUACUGCAGCAGAAGAAAAUCUAACAGAGGUUGUUGGAUUUCUUCUGGAAAAGGGAGCGGAUAUCACCCUGUGUAAUUACAGCAAUCAAACCGCAGUCCAUGUGGCUAAUUGUGAUGUCCAAAGACAACUCUUGGCCAUCAAUGGAAUCCAAGCUCCCCAAAUGCAACUUCUGCAAAGCUCAUGGCAAGGUGAUCUUGAACAACUUCAACACUUGCUGGCAUCUGAAGAGUUCCUGGAUAUAAAUUUCCCAAACCAACAUGGCUUGACUCCUCUGAUGCUGGCUGUGAGAGAUGUGGACCUGUUUGAAAGGCUUGAUAUGUUAACGCUCUAUAGACCUGCGGAGGUUCUCUCUGAGCUUCUCAGGCAUCAUGCAGACCCUAAACUCUGUGAUUUUAGUGGAAAAUCAGCAAUACAUUAUGUGUCACAAAUAGAGAGUUUCAGAAAGCA